rnacentral:rRNA from 1 species
CCCUUAGAUGUUCUGGGCCGCACGCGCGCUACACUGAUGCAUUCAACGAGCCUAUCCUUGACCGACAGGUCCGGGUAAUCUUUGAAUCUGCAUCGUGACGGGGAUAGAUUAUUGCAAUUAUUAAUCUUCAACGAGGAAUGCCUAGUAGGCGCAAGUCAUCAGCUUGCGUCGAUUACGUCCCUGCCCUUUGUACACACCGCCCGUCGCUCCUACCGAUUGGAUUGGCUGGUGAAGCGUUCGGAUUGUGGGUUCGGAGCGGUUCGCCGUUCUGGGCUUGCGAGAAGUUCGUUAAACCCUCCUAUCUAGAGGAAGGAGAAGUCGUAACA